rfam:Ictidomys tridecemlineatus contig053777, whole genome shotgun sequence.
GGGGUUGUGGCUCAUUGGUACAGCACUUGCCUGACAUGUGUGAGGCACUGGGUUUGAUUCUCAGCACCCACA